rnacentral:rRNA from 1 species
UACGAGGGGUGCAAACGUUAUUCGGAAUUACUGGGUGUAAAGGGUACGUAGACGGCAUAUUAAGUCAAUUGUUAAAUUCCCCAGCUCAACUGGGGGUAGGCGGUUGAAACUAAUAAGCUAGAGGAUGAGAGAGAGAAGUGGAAUUCUCGGAGUAGCGGUAAAAUGCGUAGAUCUCGAGAGGAACACCGAUGGCGAAGGCAGCUUCUUGGCUCAUUUCUGACGUUGAGGUACGAAAGCGUGGGGAGCAAACAGG